GGUUCUGUCCAUCUUCAGAGCAGAGAUUUAACAGACUCUUCUGUCACUCUUUCCUGGACCCAACCUUCUGUCCAGUACAGCAACUACCACGUCACUUUCAAAAGUCAGAGAGAGGGAGAUAAAAUGAUAACAGCUAAAGUUAGCGGAAGAGCCCUCAGCUUCACUCAGACUGGAUUGGCUGCUGGUCAGAAGUACAAGGUAUCAAUCAGAGGAGAGAGAGACGGAAGAUGGGACCAGAGAACAACAUUGAGUUCACAACUGCUCCCUCUGGCUCCAUAUAUCUCCAGACAAGAGAUGCAACAGACUCAUCUGUCACUCUGUUCUGGACCCAACCUUCUGUCCAGUACAGCACCUACCACAUCACUUUCAAAAGUCAG